CAUGCAAGUCGAGCGGGCGAGGUUGCUUCGGUAACUGANCUAGCGGCGGACGGGUGAGUAAUGCUUAGGAAUCUGCCUAUUAGUGGGGGACAACAUUCCGAAAGGAAUGCUAAUACCGCAUACNCCCUACGGGGGAAAGCAGGGGAUCUUCGGACCUUGCGCUAAUAGAUGAGCCUAAGUCAGAUUAGCUAGUUGGUGGGGUAAAGGCCUACCAAGGCGACNAUCUGUAGCGGGUCUGAAAGGAUGAUCCGCCACACUGGGACUGANACACGGCCCANACUCCUACGGGAGGCAGCAGUGGGGAAUAUUGGACAAUGGGCGCAAGCCUGAUCCCAGCCAUGCCGCGUGUGUGAAGAAGGCCUUUUGGUUGUAAAGCACUUUAAGCGAGGAGGAGGCUACUUGGAUUAAUACUCUAGGAUAGUGGACGUUACUCGCAGAAUAAGCACCGGCUAACUCUGUGCCAGCAGCCGCGGUAAUACAGAGGGUGCGAGCGUUAAUCGGAUUUACUGGGCGUAAAGCGUGCGUAGGCGGCUUUUUAAGUCGGAUGUGAAAUCCCUGAGCUUAACUUAGGAAUUGCAUUCCAUACUGGGAAGCUAGAGUAUGGGAGAGGAUGGUAGAAUUCCAGGUGUAGCGGUGAAAUGCGUAGAGAUCUGGAGGAAUACCGAUGGCGAAGGCAGCCAUCUGGCCUAAUACUGACGCUGAGGUACGAAAGCAUGGGGAGCAAACAGGAUUAGAUACCCUGGUAGUCCAUGCCGUAAACGAUGUCUACUAGCCGUUGGGGCCUUUGAGGCUUUAGUGGCGCAGCUAACGCGAUAAGUAGACCGCCUGGGGAGUACGGUCGCAAGACUAAAACUCAAAUGAAUUGACGGGGGCCCGCACAAGCGGUGGAGCAUGUGGUUUAAUUCGAUGCAACGCGAAGAACCUUACCUGGUCUUGACAUAGUAAGAACUUUCCAGAGAUGGAUUGGUGCCUUCGGGAACUUACAUACAGGUGCUGCAUGGCUGUCGUCAGCUCGUGUCGUGAGAUGUUGGGUUAAGUCCCGCAACGAGCGCAACCCUUUUCCUUAUUUGCCAGCGGGUUAAGCCGGGAACUUUAAGGAUACUGCCAGUGACAAACUGGAGGAAGGCGGGGACGACGUCAAGUCAUCAUGGCCCUUACGACCAGGGCUACACACGUGCUACAAUGGUCGGUACAAAGGGUUGCUACCUAGCGAUAGGAUGCUAAUCUCAAAAAGCCGAUCGUAGGCCGGAUUGGAGUCUGCAACUCGACUCCAUGAAGUCGGAAUCGCU
rnacentral:rRNA from 1 species